CAGUACGCGCCAAACAGCAGGUCUGGGCUUCUUCCUCACAGAAUUGCGGCGUCCGCGGGUUGGGAACCGAGAAAGGGCACGAUUUCCACGCUGCAGGGAAAGGUGUUGCCGGACUUUUGGAAGGAGACAUCGUAAAAAAUGGGAAUUGGAACUGUCAUGUUUUUCUUAAUGGCCACUAUCUGUCUGGCUGAGAAAACAGGACAAGACUCUGCGAGGGCCUCACUACAAUGACUGACGAAGUGACACUGGGAGACUUUGUGUAUGAAGAAGAAGAGGGAGAAACCCGAUAGAAAUAAACAGGAGCACCUGUGUGACAGAAAUGGAAAAGACCUGAGAAUGGAGUGGGACGGUAUUGCAUAAAGGAUCAUAAAAAUACAGAAGAUGGUUCCCCUUCAAAGAGCUUACAGCUGGAUACAGAUGAGUUUAUGAGAAAGACUGGGAAAGAAUGAGAAGCUAUAACAGAAGAAGGAAGAGGCAGAAAGAUGUUCAGCAGCAGCAAUCUCCUGGGUUCUUGUAGUUUACAAAAAUAUCUCUGUAACAAAAGCAGAUGCUAAACAAACAUGAUAAGACAUGGCAAUUUUUGCCUCUGGCACACAGGGAGCACCGUCUCACUUUGAAAACUUAAUAAAGAUCAAACAAGAUAAAGCUGCUUUGAACUCUCUUAAUAAUUUUUAAAUGAAAAUGUCACUUUCCCUAUAAAUUCUAUCGAACCUUUCCUAUAGCUCCCAUGAGGAGUUUAUCUUGGCUGGAACACACCUUUUUUUCUGGAACUUUACUCUGAAGAUUUCUUUAAAGCAUCAGAGCUUUAUCAAGAACAUUAAAUUGACCUAAGUAAAUGAAACCAGAACUACAGUAGCAACUAUAGUAAUCCAAACAAUGUUACCGAAGAAUGAAGCAGUGUUCCAUUCUAAGUCAGGAUUCUGUAACAAAGUCAGUGACAGGCAAUACAGCUAUUAGCAUAUGAAUAGGAAGAUGGAUGGAGUAUUAACAACGGCAGUUAGGUCAAGAAAAGAUGUAUUGCUCAAUUAACUCUCUAAAUGAACAAACUUGCUGGGCUUUUUUAACUCAAAGCACGGUAUUGGCAGCAAACAGGUGAGGCGAUGGUAUUGCUUUAUCCUUUGUGUGAUCUCCCGGUGUUAACAUCUCUUCUGUUCUUCUCCAGCUGUAAACAAGAAUCAAUUUCAAUCUCAUUGCUAGGGAUGGCAAAAGAACUCGUUUUCCUGAGCACCUGCAGAGAGAUCGUAUUUCAGUCAACUUUUCCUGCUGUCCAUCAGCAUCAAGAAACCUUCAGGCUGCACUGAAGUUAGGUCUAACCCCAAGUCUCCCAGCUAGCACCUGCUGGGGUCCUACCCCCGUGGGGACUCAUCACACUCAGUGCAGAGUGAACUGAGGUGCCGACCAAAGCCUCCUGGGAGUAGAGAGAGGGGUGGGUUUUCUCACCUACCCUCUCGUGUGUAUUUUCCAUCGGUUUGCUUUUGCCUGUGCCCAGCUCAACACAGGUUCAUUGACCUUUGGGUGUAUCUAGGUCCUAUACGCAAUACGGCAUCAAGUUUGCACGCUCUGAACGGCUUGCUGGAGGAUCUUCCCAUUAAUGGUGAAGGGAGCCAACGCACCUAAUUUAGGCUUUUUCAAUACCCUGCGAUGCCAUCUUCAGUAUUCUUCUGGUUAAGAUUCCUAACUUCCAGGUAAAUCCCUACUACAGCGGACUUUAGGCAGCCUAAUCUUUAAAAGCCUGGCUUUUAAACCCUUUGCCAUUUUACCUCUUGGAAAUGACUGUCCCAACAGGCUGACAUAGAGGUCUACAAAACACCAUGGGAUUCCAUAACAGAGGGGCUUAGCGACCUGGAAGAGAUUCCUCAUCUUUAACUGAAGCAAUUUCUGGCCAUUGCCUUUAAGAUUGUUUGAAAUUUUGGCCACCGGGACACUAUCCAGCACCAUCGAAGCGUAACAAGGUACCUUAUAAACCAAAAAGGGUAUAAACUAACGAAUUUGACCAUGUGAAAGGGCAAUCUAACAGUGUUGUGGCACACAUUAGAGGUAGUCAUGUAGUGAAUUUCAAUGUGUCAUUUGCUCAUUAUCAACUGUUACCUAAUCCAGCUUCUGAGUUUCUGUAUAUCAAGAAUCUGAGGCUGGAGGUCCCCACAUGCCACUUCUCUUCUACUUAUUGACCACAUUUCACACACUCAAGUUUGAAUAUGAUGGUCUUGUAACUUUCUGCAAGAUAUAGUUCAGCUGGAAUUAUUUUCACUUCAGAAGUGUGGAAAAGAGAGAGGAGGAUUUGUAACAUAUUAGUAAAGCCAUAAAUAACAUCCAAAAUUCAGAGAUACACCUCCCCACCCAAAUGCUACAGAUACUGUAAAAUUACUUUCACUAGCAUAUAAAAGUAGGGAUUGUGUUUUCACUGUAACCCAGGCAAGGUGUUUUGUGAUCAUGCUGGAUGAGUGCCUUGUAUAUUUCUGUGGAGGCUGGAGUGGGACAAAAGUCACAGGGUUUUGUUGUUUCGAAGGAGAGGGCAUCAGCUAGGGUAAGGUGGUGGCAAAUCUUUUGCUGGCCUGAAAGGAGACAUAUUUACAGCUGCUUGGAUGUCCACUGAAAGUACGGCGUUCUUGUGCCAGGACCAGAGCAGAGCUCUGGGGAGCCAGGCAAAGGGAGAACCUCAGAUGUUCCUGUGAACAGAAACAAAAACUAUGGGAAGAACCACCGUUAACUCUUACACCAAACUGGGUGAUUACAAGUCAAACCAUUGACCUGGGUAACUGUAGUUCAGCUUUCAGCCAUAAAAGUAAUCAAAUAUUCUGUUGUUUGUAUUCAGGAGUACUUGUAAGGUGAGAAACGACCACUAGAUUAUAAAUUAAUUGUGAAGAAUUUAAUAUCUUGCACUUAAAUAAAGCAUGCUUUCCAGUGGUA